rnacentral:SRP_RNA from 1 species
UCGUGCUAGGCGGGGAGCUAGCGGUGCCCUGAACCCGCAAACCGCUCUAGCGGGGCUGAAUUCCCGCUCGAGGUCUGAGCGCCGUGAGGACUGUCCACGCCAGGCAGCGUUGAAGGUCUGGUCCUGCGCGGCGAGGCGCUGUGAACCCCGUCAGGUCCGGAAGGAAGCAGCGGUAAGCAGUAGCUCUCGGGUGCCGCAGGGUCACCGGACCGGAGCUCGCUUGACGACGGAUAAGCUUGCGGCCCGGAUCGACAGUGGGUGCACGG